UAGCGGAACUCCUACGGGAGGCAGCAGUGGGGAAUUUUGGACAAUGGGGGCAACCCUGAUCCAGCAAUGCCGCGUGAGUGAAGAAGGCCUUCGGGUUGUAAAGCUCUCUUGUCAGGGAAGAAACGGUAGUAGCUAAUAUCUAUUACUAAUGACGGUACCUGAAGAAUAAGCACCGGAUAACUACGUGCCAGCAGCCGCGGUAAUACGUAGGGUGCAAGCGUUAAUCGGAAUUACUGGGCGUAAAGCGUGCGCAGGCGGUUGUGUAAGUCAGAUGUGAAAUCCCCGGGCUCAACCUGGGAAUUGCAUUUGAGAGUGCACUGCUAGAGUGUGUCAUCGGGGGGUAGAAUUCCACGUGUAGCAGUGAAAUGCGUAGAUAUGUGGAAGAAUACCGAUGGCGAAGGCAGCCCCCUGGGAUAACACUGACGCUCAUGCACGAAAGCGUGGGGAGCAAACAGGAUUAGAAACCCUAGAAGUCCACUUAUG
rnacentral:rRNA from 1 species